AGUUGAAUUACAGGGUGAGUUCUCCAUUGGCAGGUAGCUAGUCACUAUAUGAUAUGCAUUGCAAUUCAUCUCUUAGUGUGCAAUCUGCCAAAGGAGAUUUGCCCAGCGAUUCUCCU
rfam:Medicago truncatula strain A17 chromosome 8, whole genome shotgun sequence.